rnacentral:rRNA from 1 species
CCUUUGACGUUAGCGGCGGACGGGUGAGUAACACGUGGGUAACCUACCUAUAAGACUGGGAUAACUUCGGAAACCGGAGCUAAUACCGGAUAAUAUUUCGAACCGCAUGGUUCGAUAGUGAAAGGUGGUUUUGCUAUCACUUAUAGAUGGACCCGCGCCGUAUUAGCUAGUUGGUAAGGUAACGGCUUACCAAGGCGACGAUACGUAGCCGACCUGAGAGGGUGAUCGGCCACACUGGAACUGAGACACGGUCCAGACUCCUACGGGAGGCAGCAGCC